AGUGAACGCUGGCGGCAGGCCUAACACAUGCAAGUCGAACGGCAGCACAGUAAGAGCUUGCUCUUACGGGUGGCGAGUGGCGGACGGGUGAGGAAUACAUCGGCAUCUACUUUUUCUUGGGGGAUAACGUAGGGACACUUACGCUAAUACCGCAUACGACCUACGGGUGAAAGCAGGGGAUCUUCGGACCUUUCGCGAUUGUAUGAGCCGAUGUCGGAUUAGCUAGUUGGCGGGGUAAAGGCCCACCAAGGCGACGAUCCGUAGCAGGUCUGAGAGGAUGAUCAGCCACACUGGAACUGAGACACGGUCCAGACUCCUACGGGAGGCAGCAGUAGGGAAUAUUGGACAAUGGGCGCAAGCCUGAUCCAGCCAUACCGCGUGGGUGAAGAAGGUCUUCGGGUUGUAAAGCCCUUUUGUUGGGGAAGAAAAGCAGCAGGUUAAUACCCCGCUGUUCUGACGGUACCCAAAGAAUAAGCACCGGCUAACUUCGUG
rnacentral:rRNA from 1 species